rnacentral:rRNA from 1 species
GUGUCAGCAGCCGCGGUAACACGUAGGGUGCAAGCGUUGUCCGGAUUUAUUGGGCGUAAAGGGCUCGUAGGCGGUUCGACAAGUCGGGUGUGAAACCUCCAGGCUCAACCUGGAGUCGCCACUCGAAACUGUUGUGACUGGAGUCCGGUAGGGGAGCAUGGAAUUCCUGGUGUAGCGGUGGAAUGCGCAGAUAUCAGGAGGAACACCAGUGGCGAAGGCGAUGCUCUGGGCCGGUACUGACGCUGAGGAGCGAAAGCAUGGGGAGCGAACAGGAUUAGAAACCCUGGUAGUCC